rnacentral:lncRNA from 1 species
GGAGAAUGGGAGAGAUGCGGGAGCUGUGGACCGGGGUGUUGAAGUUACCGUGGUUCUGUGGACUCAGUCGUCUCCAGUGGGGCUGAAGUUGGACGUCUCGCUGUCCAGGAGACGGAGCAGUCUGAGCUGGGAAAGUUUGGAGCUACGCGUGAUCGGAAAGAACGAGGAUUUCUUCGCACUAGCCCCUCUUCACCCGUCGGGACCGGAAGGAUGUGUGGAUUGAUGGCUUAAGAACAAAAUGAACUGGAAUUUUUUGAGUCCUUUGAGGCCUGCUCGGAUAUUUCCAUCCCUUCCUCCCAAGUCACCACCUCCUUCAGUGGAAUAGAAGGUAUUUCUUACACUUGAUUUUAGCCAAAAGGCAGGAAGUGACAAAGGAUUUCCUUGUGGAAAGGGAUGUGGUGGUCAACCUAGAUGCUCUCCAAGGAUGAUUGAGAAUUUGCACUUGCCUGGGUACUCUCACAUGCCAGAAACCAGUAGGAGAUCUGAUAUUUGGAAAUUCAAGAGGUUUCCCUCACUGGAUGGAGACCAAAAUUAUGCCUUUGUAUAAAUAAUUGCAUCCAACAUUAGCUGGUUUGCAAGUCAAAAGGGCUCAGUGAAUAUGACUCUGAGUCAGGGCCUUGCCCGGCACCAAGAAAGGCUCAAGUUACUUGUCUUUCAUUUUAGAAAAUUUCAUUACAUUUUUAU